CCUACGGGUGGCAGCAGUGGGGAAUAUUGCACAAUGGGGGAAACCCUGAUGCAGCGACGCCGCGUGAGUGAAGAAGUAAUUCGUUACGUAAAGCUCUAUCAGCAGGGAAGAAAAUGACGUUACCUGAGUAAGAAGCCCCGGCUCACUACGUGCCAGCAGCCGCGGUAAUACGUAGGGGGCAAGCGUUAUCCGGAUUUACUGGGUUGAAAGGGAGCGUAGACGGCGGCGCAAGUCUGGAGGGAAAUGCCGGGGCCCAACCCCGGAACUGCUCUGGAAACUGAGAAGCUGGAGUGCAGGAGAGGUAAGCGGAAUGCCUGGUGUAGCGGUGAAAUGCGUAGAUAUCAGGAGGAACACCGGCGGCGAAGGCGGCUUACUGGACUGUAACUGACGGUGAGGCUCGAAGGCGUGGGGAGCAAACAGGAUUAGAUACCCGAGUAGUC
rnacentral:rRNA from 1 species